rnacentral:rRNA from 1 species
AUUGAACGCUGGCGGAAUGCUUUACACAUACAAGUCGAACGGCAGCACGGACCUCGGUCUGGUGGCGAGUGGCGAACGGGUGAGUAAUGUAUCGGAACGUGCCCAGUCGUGGGGGAUAACGUAGUGAAAAUUACGCUAAUACCGCAUACGAUCUAUGGAUGAAAGCGGGGGAUCGCAAGACCACGCGCGAUUGGAGCGGCCGAUAGCAGAUUAGGUAGUUGGUGGGGUAAAGGCCCACCAAGCCAACGAUCUGUAGCUGGUCUGAGAGGACGACCAGCCACACUGGAACUGAGACACGGUCCAGACUCCUACGGGAGGCAGCAGUGGGGAAUUUUGGACAAUGGGCGAAAGCCUGAUCCAGCCAUUCCGCGUGCAGGAUGAAGGCCCUCGGGUUGUAAACUGCUUUUGUACAGAACGAAAAGGUUUCUACUAAUACUAGGAGCUCAUGACGGUACUGUAAGAAUAAGCACCGGCUAACUACGUGCCAGCAGCCGCCGCGG